ACGCUGGCGGCGUGCCUAAUACAUGCAAGUCGAACGCUUCUUUUUCCACCGGAGCUUGCUCCACCGGAAAAAGAGGAGUGGCGAACGGGUGAGUAACACGUGGGUAACCUGCCCAUCAGAAGGGGAUAACACUUGGAAACAGGUGCUAAUACCGUAUAACAAUCGAAACCGCAUGGUUUUGAUUUGAAAGGCGCUUUCGGGUGUCGCUGAUGGAUGGACCCGCGGUGCAUUAGCUAGUUGGUGAGGUAACGGCUCACCAAGGCGACGAUGCAUAGCCGACCUGAGAGGGUGAUCGGCCACAUUGGGACUGAGACACGGCCCAAACUCCUACGGGAGGCAGCAGUAGGGAAUCUUCGGCAAUGGACGAAAGUCUGACCGAGCAACGCCGCGUGAGUGAAGAAGGUUUUCGGAUCGUAAAACUCUGUUGUUAGAGAAGAACAAGGAUGAGAGUAACUGUUCAUCCCUUGACGGUAUCUAACCAGAAAGCCACGGCUAACUACGUGCCAGCAGCCGCGGUAAUACGUAGGUGGCAAGCGUUGUCCGGAUUUAUUGGGCGUAAAGCGAGCGCAGGCGGUUUCUUAAGUCUGAUGUGAAAGCCCCCGGCUCAACCGGGGAGGGUCAUUGGAAACUGGGAGACUUGAGUGCAGAAGAGGAGAGUGGAAUUCCAUGUGUAGCGGUGAAAUGCGUAGAUAUAUGGAGGAACACCAGUGGCGAAGGCGGCUCUCUGGUCUGUAACUGACGCUGAGGCUCGAAAGCGUGGGGAGCAAACAGGAUUAGAUACCCUGGUAGUCCACGCCGUAAACGAUGAGUGCUAAGUGUUGGAGGGUUUCCGCCCUUCAGUGCUGCAGCUAACGCAUUAAGCACUCCGCCUGGGGAGUACGACCGCAAGGUUGAAACUCAAAGGAAUUGACGGGGGCCCGCACAAGCGGUGGAGCAUGUGGUUUAAUUCGAAGCAACGCGAAGAACCUUACCAGGUCUUGACAUCCUUUGACCACUCUAGAGAUAGAGCUUCCCCUUCGGGGGCAAAGUGACAGGUGGUGCAUGGUUGUCGUCAGCUCGUGUCGUGAGAUGUUGGGUUAAGUCCCGCAACGAGCGCAACCCUUAUUGUUAGUUGCCAUCAUUUAGUUGGGCACUCUAGCAAGACUGCCGGUGACAAACCGGAGGAAGGUGGGGAUGACGUCAAAUCAUCAUGCCCCUUAUGACCUGGGCUACACACGUGCUACAAUGGGAAGUACAACGAGUCGCAAAGUCGCGAGGCUAAGCUAAUCUCUUAAAGCUUCUCUCAGUUCGGAUUGUAGGCUGCAACUCGCCUACAUGAAGCCGGAAUCGCUAGUAAUCGCGGAUCAGCACGCCGCGGUGAAUACGUUCCCGGGCCUUGUACACACCGCCCGUCACACCACGAGAGUUUGUAACACCCGAAGUCGGUGAGGUAACCUUUUGGAGCCAGCCGCCUAAGGUGGGAUAGAUGA
rnacentral:rRNA from 1 species